ensembl:lncRNA
GUAAAACAAGAUAAUUUUCACCUUUGGGUAGGGCUGGGCAUCCGAUGCUUUUUAGGCACUGAGCAAAUUGCCUCAAAACAAUUGAGUUUCAAAAAAUAUAUAUUUUUGUUCGAUACCAAAUUUAAUACUUCAGUGUCAGUGAAACCGUAAGCAUGCUGUCACAGUUAUGGAUUUUUGUUCUUUAUGAGUUUCCUUAUUUGGUCAUGUUCAUUUUCUUGUUUAGUUAAUUAAUUAGCCCCACACCUGUUUCUGUUUCCAUCUGAUUACAUUCCCAGUGUUUAAAAGUCUGUGUUCUACAUUAUUCCUUUGUCCGCUAUUGAUGUUCAUUUAUUUGGAUUUGUGUUUGGAUAUGCCCUUUUUUCGCCUGUGAAUUAUCAAAAGAACUAUUUAGCUAUUUCCUUUUUCGUGCUUGAUGUGCCCAAAUCAAGUGCUGGUGAUUGCCUUUGGCGAGGCAUCAAGGGGUUUAAGAGUUUGAAAAAUUCAGGAAUCAGUAUCCAAGUCAAGAACAACCUCCUGGACAGUAACUAGUCUGGUUUUAAAAGCAGCCACUGAACUGAGACUGCCCUGCUCUUGGUUAUUAAAGCUCUGUGACUUGCAAGAGCAGCUUCAAAGUCAUCUGUACUCCUUUUGCUGGAGUCUUUGUCUGUGGCUUUUGGCACAGUUAUCCACCUGAUUGUCCUGUCAACCCUCUUGACAAAGCGUGUCUCAGGAACCACACUCCAGUGGUUCAAGUUUUAACUCUCAGCUGGAUGUGUUGACGGUCACUGCUCACAUCUCUGCCUCCUGGAUAGAAAUGUCUUGCUGGAUGUUGAAUGACCAUCAGCUCAACCUUGCCAAGACAGGACUGCUCAUGUUUUGCACUUCCAGAUCAUUGCAGUGGCCCGAUCCUGCAGAUUUGCCCUGUAUAACAUUAGCAAGAUCAGACCCUUCCUUACGGGGCUGCUACAGAACUCCUUGUCCGAGCUCUUGUUCUCUCCAUACUGGACUAUUGUACUGCUCUCUUGGCAGACUUUGCAGCAUGUACUACCAAGCUUCUGCAACUAAUCCAGUAUGUGGCACUGCAAGUGGUCUUUAACGAGUUGAAGAGUGCACGUCACACACCUUAUCACUUUGAAGAGGUACAAAUUCACUUUCACAGACCAUUUCUUUGACUGUUUGUUGCUGUUGUAAUAAACUGCCUAACUCUGCUCAUUUUCAAGAAAUGGCCAAAAAUGCAUUUUUUUUUUCAUGAACACUUGAGACACUAAAGGGAUAGUUCACCCACAAAUGAAAAUGACCAUGAUUUACUCACUCCCAAGCCAUCCUUUGUGCAUAUGACUUUUCUUUCAUAAAAACACAGUCAGAGUUAUCAAUAAACAUCUUGGCUCUUCCGGACUUUAUAAUGGCAGUGAAUGGCUGCCAUGAAUUUGAA